GCAGCUGUAGCUCAGCAUCAGAGCACUGGUCUUGUAAACCAGUGGCCGGAGGUUAAAAUCCUCCCUGCUGCU
rnacentral:tRNA from 1 species